GACGAACGCUGGCGGCGUGCUUAACACAUGCAAGUCGAGCGGAAAGGCCCUUUCGGGGGUACUCGAGCGGCGAACGGGUGAGUAACACGUGAGUAAUCUGCCCUGGACUCUGGGAUAGCCACCGGAAACGGUGAUUAAUACCGGAUAUGACACCUUGCUGCAUGGUGGGGUGUGGAAAGUUUUUUCGGUCCAGGAUGUGCUCGCGGCCUAUCAGCUUGUUGGUGAGGGAAUGGCUCACCAAGGCUUUGACGGGUCGCCAGCCUGAGAGGGUGACCGGUCACACGGGGACUGGGACACGGCCCAGACUCCUACGGGAGGAAGCAGUGGGGAAUAUUGGACAAUGGGCGGAAGCCUGAUCCAGCAACGCCGCGUGAGGGAUGACGGCCUUCGGGUUGUAAACAUCUUUCAGUACCGACGAAGCGUGAGUGACGGUAGGUACAGAAGAAGGACCGGCCAACUACGUGCCAGCAGCCGCGGUAACAC
rnacentral:rRNA from 1 species